ensembl:lncRNA
CCUGCAUCUUGACCUUUGACAUUGCUAUGAGUAGAACCAAUCCUGCUUUGCUUGCAGGUCCAAGAUACACAAAACACACCUGUUGCAAACCUAGAGUUGGAGACGCACCACCAAAUACCACAGCACCACCUGUCCUAUCAAUCCAUGAGAAUCAAUGACUAUUGUGUAUGACUGUUACCGAAUGUAACAGCCCAGUUUGCUGGCCAUGUCCUGUCUCCAAGAAAGUUGUAGCUUCUGUUGUUUCAGUUAGUUCACUGGAUAUCAGAGCCUUUCAACCUUGGACAAACACAGGAGAUCCAUAUUAUGGCUCCAACACUUAGCACCUGUGCCAUUCUCCGAGCCUGAAAGGAGCAUCUGAGGGCAACACUCCUGUCCCGGGACUGUUGAGAGGACCACACCUAGCUCUGUUUUAGGUAAAGUAUAAAGUGCUGCCCAGGCAGCCCAUUGGAUCACAUCACCCUGGGUACACGGCAGUGA